GAGUGGCUCAGUGGUGGAGCGUCGCCUUGCCAAGGCGAAGGUCGCGGGUUCGAUCCCCGUUUCG
rnacentral:tRNA from 1 species